CAGUCGCCACGGUAAUACGUAGGUGGCAAGCGUUGUCCGGAAUUAUUGGGCGUAAAGGGCUCGCAGGCGGUUUCUUAAGUCUGAUGUGAAAGCCCCCGGCUCAACCGGGGAGGGUCACUGGAAACUGGGAAACUUGAGUGCAGAAGAGGAGAGCGGAAUUCCACGUGUAGCGGUGAAAUGCGUAGAGAUGUGGAGGAACACCAGUGGCGAAGGCGACUCUCUGGUCUGUAACUGACGCUGAGGAGCGAAAGCGUGGGGAGCAAACAGGAUUAGAUACCCGUGUAGUCCCUGUCUCUUAUAC
rnacentral:rRNA from 1 species